GGACGUACCAACGCCAUCCGCACGGAACUCAGUGGGGGGGGAAAAAACCCCCCCAAAACCCGACCGCAACAAACCCACCCCCAGCGAGCCGAGCUCUGCGCCGCGCUGCCUCCGCGCUCCCCCACCUCCGCGCGGCUAAAGGUGACCUUUCCGAUGGAAACCAAAUCCCACGAAGUCCCCCCGCUGCUGCCCCGCUCCCCCCGCGCUCGGAUCGGAGGAGCGCUGCGAGCCGUCCCCGCGCCAAUGGAUGCUCCGCGCUCCCCACUCGCUGUCAUUCAUCGCGUUCCGCUCUACAGACCGUGCUGUUUUUUGUCUGUAAAGGGCUUCGCUCGGGUUCUCCUUCCCCCCCAUCCCCAGUACCUGAUGAGUAUGGAGACCCCGACGUCCUCGCAGUUGGCGUACACCCUGCUCCAUGUCUCCUGAAUAACCUUCUUCUCCGCGUCGGAGAUCUCCUCACUUCGCUCCCACCUCUCGAUCUCCAUUUCACCCUGGACUUUCUCCAUGGGGAGCUGCGUGCGCUGCGCCGGGAGCCGGGAGGGGAUGUGCGUGAGAGCGGCGAGGUGUGCGCCCAGCAGCUGCGCCCUCGGAGCUGGAAUUUCGGCUAUCUCCUACAGCUCGGGUCUCCCCAUGGCUGUAGCAGCUCCCGCUCAGCCUGGAUGCGGGCGGCUGACUGAUGGGAAACUGCCGAAAAGUGAAAUAUUCAAAGGCAUCGCAGGACCAGCCUCUUCCAACGUGUGAACGCACCCCGAGGGAGAGGAAGAGGAGUCCAGGAGGGAGGAAGGCUCUGAGCCUCGCGCCACCUAACGCUGCUGCAGAGCCAGACCAGGAUUUACAGGUCUCUUUGCCUACUGGUGAGGCUGCGUGAGCUCUGGAAAGUGGCUGCUCCUGAGGUGCGUGGAAAUAGAGACACAGAGCCUGAACUGGGCAGACCAGGGGGGGGGAAAGCCCUUUCUGGUGCUUCCAACAGCUGCCCAGCUCCCAGCCACAGAACACGCCGAGAACCCCUCCAAAACCCACCUCCAUGGUGCAGCUCGGGGUAAACCGAGGCCAAAUGCUGCAAAUCCCGAAUGCUGGGUCCGGAGGGGCUUUGGGUAACCCCACAGCGAUGCCCUUUGGGAGCCAUAAGGCAGCCCAUGGGCACGGGGCGAUGGCACGUUGUGCUCCCGGCGCUGGGACUCUCCCAGCUCUCCCACCCGUGCACACACAUUAAUAAAAGAUCAGUUUGCAGACGCAGCUUGCUGUAGACGACAGCAUUAGAGGCGCAUCUGGUUUCUGCUAAGCACCGGUCUCGUGCUGGGUUUAUUUGGUCCAUUUGUGGCAGGGAAGAGUUGCUUUCAGCAUUCAAUGGUGUCUCAUGUCUGGGAGAGGUGGGGGGGGAAGAUGUAUUUUUGGUGCAGCUUAGCCACAAAAAUUCAGUCUCGGAAUAAAGACAAAU
rnacentral:lncRNA from 1 species